rnacentral:rRNA from 1 species
AUUGAACGCUGGCGGCAGGCCUAACACAUGCAAGUCGAACGAGUGGCGGACGGGUGAGUAAUGUCUGGGAAACUGCCUGAUGGAGGGGGAUAACUACUGGAAACGGUAGCUAAUACCGCAUACCAUCAGAUGUGCCCAGAUGGGAUUAGCUAGUUGGUGGGGUAACGGCGCCCCAAGGCGACGAUCCCUAGCUGGUAUGAGAGGAUGACCAGCCAAACUGGAACUGAGACACGGUCCAUAGUCCGACGGGAGGGAGCAGGGGGGAAUAUGGCAAAAUGGGAGAAAGCCUGAUGCAGCCAUGCCGCGUGUAUGAAGAAGGCCUUCGGGUUGUAAAGUACUUUCAGCGGGGAGGCGUUACCCGCAGAAGAAGCACCGGCUAACUCCGUGCCAGCAGCCGCGGUAAUAC